GAAGUCCCAUUUCUUCAUCAAGUCGACGGACAGUCACGCAAGGUUGAACAUGAAAUUUGUACGUACAAUCUCUUCAGUCUUAAUUCAGAGGAGCACUGGAUCUGCAUGGAUUUUCCAGAGAGCAGCAGUUUCAGAGCAGUGCAAUUUUGAAAAAGGGCCAUUUGAAUGGUGAAAACAAUGUUACCAUGGAACAUUGAUAGCUUGUACAGCAGCAAUGCUCUCAGUGUUUGUUUCGGCAUUGAUUUGCGACAACUAAGCACCAUGUUGCAUCAUUGAGGAGCUAGGACAACAGUUCAUCAGGACUAUCCUGAAAAUCAUACUAGAGCACUAGACCAAUCCAAGGUUCUCUUGCGACUUUUGAGGAGUUGUACAUUUUUUAGCCUUGUCGAGUCCUCCCUGUUUAUGCAAAGUUCACACAUGGGGAUCUUUUGUGGCAUCUUCUUACUGCACAUCAUACAUAAAUCUGAUAUUCUUAUGCUUGUUCUGGUUGGUUUCGAGAUAUUGGUCAUCAUUCACCAAAACUUGCUGGUGUACUUGUUAAGCUGUGAGGAUCAUAAUGGGGGAAUAACUGAUAUUUUGCUGAUUUGCUAUUGAAACUAAGGUGUGCAGUUUCUUCAGUUCGAUGCUAU